GAUGAAGAACGUAGCGAAAUGCGAUAAGUAAUGUGAAUUGCAGAAUUCCGUGAAUCAUCGAAUCUUUGAACGCACAUUGCGCCCUCUGGUAUUCCGGGGGGCAUGCCUGUCCGAGCGUCAUUUGCAACCCUCAAGCCCGGCUUGUGUGAUGGGUGCCGUCCCCUACGGGACGCGCCCCGAAGGCAAUGGCGGCGUCGCGGUUAUCCGAUCAGCCAAAGUGUAUGGGGCUUUGUCACUCACUUUACGGCCCGGACCGGCGCCAGUCCGAAUCAAUCUUUUUUCUAAAGUUGACCUCGGAUCAGGUAGGGAUACCCGCUGAACUUAAGCAUAUCAAUAACGGAGGA
rnacentral:misc_RNA from 1 species